AAGAAAACUCUAGAAGUUCUCUCUUUCGACUCUAACUUUCCCCCACCCCGCCAUCACCGCCGUAUACUGCGCCAAAAGAAUUUAUACGUAAAAAUACUAAAAUACUCUGUAAAAUUAACAGAUUACACAUUCUUCCCUUAGCAUUAACGUAAAUCUCUCUCACUCCUGUGACGCCUCCUCUCUGCUCCGACUCUCUCUCCGAUGUGCGUCCCUAGUCUCACCCUUGUGUGGCGCUUCUCCUUCUCAGUUUUCACUUUCAUCGUGUGCCGUUCAUGUUCGUGUUCUCAUCGUGCCUUCGUGCACCGUUUGUUUCGUCUCCAGUUUCCUCUUACCACCGUUCUUCAACACCAACAACGGUUCAAUUGCAACAUUUGGUAAUUUCCUUGCCUGGCCUAUGAUAUGUGACACUGACAUUAGUUUAUUAUAAAUCACUGUUUAUAGGAAUAGAAAUGGCAAAAGUUGUGUUGUUUUGUGAUGUAGAGUUUAUAGAAAAUUUCUCAAAAAUUUGUUUUGUUUUGUUCUGUUUUGUAUGUGCAAGAUUUGUGUUGUUGAUUGUGAAGAAGUUGAAUUGGUUAAACUUGUUUUUGGGACUUGAAGUUUAAUUGUUCUGUUUAUCACGUUGCAUUGGUUAAAUUUUGGUUAAAUUAAACUUGUUAUUAGAAUUUGAAGUUGACUGUGUAGUAGUUUUAUGUUGUUUGUUCUGGUCAUGAUUCAAAAUUGUGCAUAAUUAUACUCUCAUUGUUGUGUUCUUUGGUUUUCUUUGACUUCAUGAUGCUGUUUGUUGCAUAUAUCCCACAAUAUGUCCAAAUACUUUGUUCAAGAUACUAUAGUAGAUAAGGAUUAAAGAAAAUAGAAAUUGAAUAAUCUUCACAACGUACCUGAUUGGUAAAGUGAAACAUAUUCAAGUGAUGGUGGUGACUCAACAUUUUGUGAAAAGUUAUUAUGCUAAGUAAAGUAAAACAUAUUUAAUAAAAAAAUUGAUCCAAAAGGAAUAAUGGUUGGGAAAGGGUUGUGUUAUACUAAAUAUUUCCUCUGUCUAUAUAACUAUUUGUUUGUUCUUAUAAUUCCAAUUACAAAAUAAAAUGACAAUUACUUCCAUUUCAGUAUUGGUAAGAUAGAGAUCUGAACGAGGCCUUGAAUAAUUUUGUUUUGAUUUCAAUUUCUCAAAUUAGAUUUUAUUUCAUCAUUAUGUUUUGCUUAUGCAAAUUCUUGAUUCAUAGUUUAAAAUUGGGCAAAUAUACUUUAAUUGUUCUGUUACUUGGUUUCCUUUGCCUUCAUGAUACUGUUUGUUGCGCAUACAUGCUCCCAUUUUUAGGCUCUUAUGAUUCUAUUUUGUUUAUUAAAUUUGAUAAACAUCUUUAUAUAUACAAGCAUAUACUAACUCUUUAAAUUUGACCUUUAGUGGCAAGUUUGCUUUGAACCCAACAUGCCAACGAAGUGAAUGAAUUCAACUCGGACGAGCUUAAACCUAACCUACUAAGUUGAAUCCUAGUCCAAAUAGGGGAGAACACAAUUCCCCCAUUCUUCACUUUUUAGUAAUUUUGAACUAUGCUUUUUUCUAUGUGGUUUGAAUCUAUCUUGUGAAUAUGCUCAUCAAUUUUUAAUUAUGACGCUAUGUUUUUGGUUUAUGCUGUGGUGCCUAUUUCUAAUCUCACAUGAAGUUUAAAGUUUGUCAACUUCAUUAUGAAUUCUUGAACACGAAGAAAAGGAUGUGUUAGAUGUAAUUCAAAUUGAUUUGUAAUUAGUUAGUUAGAAUAUGGUUAGAAGUUAGUUAGAAUAUAGUUAGAAAUUUGUUAACUUUGUUGUAACUGAUUCAGUAGAAAACUGUUUCUAUAAAAGCCUUCAAAACGAAGAACAAUCUGUAAUGCUGAACCAAAACAUUCUCUAGACUUUCCAGAUUGAUAAUCAAUCUUCGUUUUCCAGAACUUUAUGUUUUCUUCUCUUUUCUUCUCAAUUUCAAUUCCUCUCAAUUAUACAACUUGUUCCAACAAUUGGCAUCAAGAGCUUGGGUUAUAAUUCUUAGGAAACACGAGUGCAAGUUUGAGGGGAAAUCAAAAUUGUGAAACACAAGUGUGAGUGAAAGAAAAGAAAGAAGACAUGAAUGGAGGAGGAUUUCCAUCGAAUUUGCCAACUCUAAAUGGGAAGAACUGGGAGAGGUGGUCUACAUCCAUUAGAUCGUUGUUGGGAUCUCAAGAAGUGUUUGAGAUUGUUCAAGAUGGCUAUGAACAACUUCGUGCGAAUCCAACGGAAAGACAACAAACAACUUUCAAAGAUUGCAAGAAAAUAGAUUGCAAGGCAUUGUUUUACAUCCAACAGAGUGUGGAUUCAAACAACUUUGAAAGGAUAUUGAAGGAAUUUACAUCAAAGGAGGCAUGGGAGAUCUUGGUCAAGUACUAUACAGGUGGGGAAAAGGCCAAUAAAGUGAAGCUCCAAAUGCUAAGAAGGCAAUGCGAAUUAUUGCAGAUGCAAGAAGAUGAAGUUGUGGCAUAUUACUUCCAUCGUGUACAGGUUGUUGUUAAUCAUAUGAGAACAAAUGGUGAAUCAUUAACUGAAAUGGUGAUUAUUGAAAAGAUCUUUAGAACAUUAACACAAACGUACGAUCACAUAGUGGUGGCAAUUGAAGAAUCAAAGGAUCUUGAUAAGAUGAAGGUGGAGGAUUUGCAAGGCUAUCUUGAAGCUUUUGAACUGAGAGUAAGAGAAAGGUGUGCAACAACCUCAACAUCUCAAGUGCAGGCCCUACAGGCCUAAGAUAACAGGAAGACCAACCAAGGUGAUAUGAAGCACAAGAAAGGCAAAGGUAAAUUCAAGUGGUAUAAGAAAUAUGAUUCUGAUGAAGAGACUGAUGGUUCUGAUGAAGGGGCUGGAAGUUCAAGAAAUCAGAACAAAAGUGAUAACAACAACAAGAAUUCGAAUGACAAGAAGAAAUUCAACAAGAAGGGAAUCCAAUGUUACAAUUGUAAAAAAUGGGGGCAUUUUGCAAAUGAAUGCAAAUCCAAGAAAUUCCAAAGAGAUGAUGAUGAAGCUCAAAUGGCAAUUGAGAAUUCAAAUGAUGUGUUAUUGAUAGCCACCACAAAUGGAGAACAUUCUAUGUUUUUAGACAAAGUGUUGUUGAUGGUAACUACAAACCAAGAACGUUCUGGAAAAAGUGUUAAUAACGAAGAACGUUCUUCGUCUCAAUUUUGGUUUUUUGAUACUGGUUGCUCGAAUCACAUGACUGGCCACAAAGAUUGGUUUGUAAGCAUGGAUGAGAAUGUAAAAAGAGAGAUCAGAUUUGCAGAUAAUAGCAAUGUAACUACAGAAGGAGUAGGAAACGUGUUGAUUCAAAGGAGAGAUGGCAAGCAAUAUUUCAUAUGUGAUAUGUUUUAUGUGCCAAGAAUGAAGAACAAUAUGCAGCUGUUGCGACCUAAAAUUUCGAGUGUUUCUCGAAUUCAAUGGAGUCGCCACCAAAAUUCAUUUUAAAAUAGGGAAAAUAUUGAGAAACCUUUAAAUAGUAAAAAUAAAAAAAUGUGGUCUUUGAAACCAAAUUUUGAGUUCGGGAGUCGAUUAUGCGUAGGGAAGGUACUAGCACCCUACGACAUCCGUUAAAAUACGGUUAUCUAUAAUUAAUUGUGCAGAAUUAAUAUUAACUUAAGUAUAUUUAUUUCUCCUUAUUAUUAAAUAUGAAUACGAAUUGUUUUUUAUAAAUGUGAUUUUUGAGAUAAAAUUGUAUUUAAAAAGAGAGGAAGUAAAAGAAGUUGUUAUUAUUGUGCUCGACAAGAGUGUGAUUUUGCUGCUAUGUAUCUCCUAUUGUGAUGGAGAAAUCAAAACUACAUACUUCUUGGGUAAAAAAAUGCAAAUGUGUUAAUUGUUUUUAAAGAAAACAUGUUUUGUUAUUGAUUAAAAAAAUAUUAUUAAACAGAUUCUUUUAAAAAAAUGUUUUUAAAUUAAUUAUUUUAUAAAAACAAGUUUUAGAACUAUUAAGUUAUAUAACUUAUAUUCUGACAACUCAUAGAUUAAAAGAUGAUAUAUUUAAUUAAUAUUUAAUAAAAUAUUUCUUUUUUUAUUAAAAUAUUUAUUAGAAGAUAAAUAUUUCGUUUCUGUUAUUUUAAUUAUUUUAAUUUAUUUUUUGUUUGACCUAAAUGGGAACACUUAUUUAAAUUAUGGAUUCAAAAUUUGUUUAGAUUUAUAAAAUAAUGAUUUUUUUGAUUUUAUAAUAAUUGUAAAAUAUAUACUAAACAUAUUAUUACUUUUUAUUUUAUUUUAAAUUAGUCACAUCUAAUUAAUUUUAACAUAAUAUUUAUUUGUAUUUUUUUAUGAUAAAAUUGAUAUUUAAUUAUGAAGGAAAUCAACCCCUUUUCUUAAAAUAAAUAAAUAAUAAUAAUAAUAAAAUAAAUAGACUUAAAUGGGCUACAUGUUUUAGUUAUUGUUGAAACCCAAGCCCAAACCAACUUAAAACAAAAAGUCCAAAAUGGCAAACCCUAAUUAGAGAGAGGCAACAAAGAAACUAGAGAACCCUAGUUUGAUUGAGGAGGCGGCCAACAUGAAAAGAGGCGGCUAGACAGAAACACGAAUGGAAAGAAAAACCAGGAUGCGAAAACGAAAGAGAAAUGAAGGAACUGCGAUGGUGAGGAAGGUGACAGCUACCUCGGCGACAGUGAGGAAGGUGACGACAACCUCAGCGACGGUGGCAGCGCCGACAACGACAAUGGCGACAGUGACAUCAACGAUGGCAAAAAAGACAUCAUCACAGGUUUGUAUUUUAAUCGUUUUACGUUUCUUUAAAAAAAACCUACAUUUUUAAAAAGUGAUUGUUUGAUGAUGAUAAAGAGCAAGAAGGAAAGAUACCUUAAUGUUUCGUUUUUGUUGUUUAUUACUGCAACUCUCUGAUUUCUUCCCCUUCCCCUUCUCUGUAUGUGUUUUUUUUAUAUAUCAGUAGUGUUAGUCUCCGAUUCUUUCCCCUCUUUGAAAUUUUAUAGGGUAUAUUUAUAGAGUUUUUUAUGUGUUUAGUUGUUUUCUGGUCUGCCUUGGUCCUUCUCUAUCUAUUUCAUGUUUGAUGUUUUGAUUGCUUUGCUCAUCAUCUGUAUUUUCUUGCACCACUGAUGCCUUCAUAAAUUUAGAUUAUUUGUUUUGAUUUGUUGAUUUGCUGAGCAUAUUCAUUUGUCUUUUAGUUUCUUUUUUUAAACUCAAAAAUUUGUCAUUUAGUUUUUAUCAUGUAUACUGAGUCUGACUGGUAAAAAAAAAAUGGUUUUCAGAUUCUCUAAUUAGUUACAGCAAAGGUCAAUGACACUGCAUCUGAAACAGAAAUGCAGCAACAGAGCCAAACACUGCAUCAGAAACAAAGAGGCAACAACAACAACAAAACAGAGCCAAAUGCUUCAUUUGAAAAAGUUUGACCUAAUUUUUAUUGUAAUUUAAUUUGGUUUUAUUUUUUGUUGCAAUUUGAAAUUGUAAUUUGAUUUAAAUUUAGAAUUGUAAUUGUAAAUUGAUUUGGUAUUAAAAAAAUUAUGAGCC
rnacentral:lncRNA from 1 species